CACGUAGGGCGCAAGCGUUGUCCGGAAUUAUUGGGCGUAAAGGGCUCGUAGGCGGUCUGUCGCGUCGGGAGUGAAAACUCGGGGCUUAACCCCGAGCCUGCUUCCGAUACGGGCAGACUAGAGGUAUGCAGGGGAGAAUGGAAUUCCUGGUGUAGCGGUGAAAUGCGCAGAUAUCAGGAGGAACACCGGUGGCGAAGGCGGUUCUCUGGGCAUUACCUGACGCUGAGGAGCGAAAGUGUGGGGAGCGAACAGG
rnacentral:rRNA from 1 species